GAACAAUUCAAGCACAGGCUGGAUUGCUGGACACCCUCCCUUCAUCGCCCAUGCCCUAAAACCCAUCGGAUCAUAAGGGUCACACCUACAAGUUAUAUGAGCAAAAGAGGAGAGCGCAGAGGGAAGAAGAUGGAGCCUACCCAUAUCGUUUCACCCGGUAGUAAAAGAUGUUUGAGAUGCAUGUGUCAUCAACAUCCAAGAUCCAUGCAUCCAUUCCAUCACCAGAAA